GGAAGGAUCAUUAUCCUUUAGCUGAAUGCCUGGUUGCUCUCUGCACUAGUGCAUUGCCAGCUCACAAUUACUUAAUGCGCGGCGACUGCUUGCCUAGUCGGGCAGUCGCACAAACAAAAUCCACGGCUAGCGCUAGUGCUUCUGUGGUCAGGUACCUAGCAGCUGAAGCGGCGCACACUCGUGUGUGUCGUGUGGCGUAAAGAUUACUCUCCCCCAGUUUGGACGAGUAACGCCUGCUUAGCUUUGAUUUAUUUUCUAUUUAAAUCACUAUUUUAUUAUAGAGUUGUGUAUGUGUUUGUUCUCCUAAAGAGAAAGCUAAUUAACACAAAAACAACCCCUAUGCGGUGGAUCACUUGGCUCGCGAGUCGAUGAAGAGCGCAGCAAACUGCGUGAACUAAUGUGAUUUGCAGGACACAUUGAUCAUCGACAUCUUGAACGCAUAUUGCGGUUACGGAUCGCUUCCGUGACUACGCCUGUCUGAGGGUCGGUAUAAAUGUUGUAAAAACGUCAAGUGUGAUAAACGCUUGCUCGGUUGUUGAGAGCGCGAGCUCUCAUCAACUCAGAUUCAUUUAUACUAAAUCGUAUGUUUUAGUUGCGGUGCACACAAUGGCUCGUUCAUUGUUGUCGCUUCGAUGUUGCCACAGAGCAAGUAAAAAUUGCAUAGCUAUCUAUACAUUUGCUUUGCUCAGGCUUCGGACGAGUGACGCUAGCUAAUGAACGCAGUUCACAAACGGGUGCAUAUCUAAAUUUAUUUUUCAUUUUCGACCUCAGAUCAGACGAGAUUACCCGCUGAAUUUAAGCAUAUUAUUAAGCGGAGGAAAAGAAACUAACCAGGAUUCCUUUAGUAACGGCGAGUGAACAAGGAAAAGCCCAUCACCGAAUCCAUCCCGGUAAACGGGAAUGGAAUUGUGGUGUAAAGGACAGUUUUCGUAGCACGGUUGCCGGCCCGAGUUCUCUUGAAUGGGGCCUUCCCAUAGCGGGUGACAGGCCUAUAGCGACCGGACGACCGUGUUACUUGUGCUGUCCCGAGAGUCGGGUUGCUUGAGAUCGCAGCCCUAAGACGGGUGGUAUACUCCAUCCAAGGCUAAAUACAGUCGCGAGACCGAUAGCGAACAAGUACCGUGAGGGAAAGUUGAAAAGAACUUUGAAGAGAGAGUUAAAUAGUACGUGAAACCGUAUAGGGGUAAACGGGUGGAAGCGCUAAAUCGGUGCGAAGAAUUCAGAUCAUCGGCCAGCGCGUUAUGUGGUGCACGGCAUAGUCUAACGCUAGUCGUGUUUGCUACCACGUACGUCGAUGGUUGCACUUUUUCGCAUCGAGCGCCUCGACAGAUUGCUGUCGUGCAGAGAAAGGUAGGAGCUCGGUACCGCGACUCUGUUGCGGACUUAUAAACUCUUGCUCAUGUGCACGCGGCGAUCUUGGACUGAAAGCUAAGAAGUGUCAGCGCAAGCGAGAGCGGCGUUCAUGUAGUGGCUGUCGAAUUGGAGUUUCUCCCUAGUGGAGUUUCUUCUAACCGGGUUGCUACACUGGAUGUCUCCUCUCAUGGCACUUUAGUCCGAGGCGAACGGUCGUACGUCUACCCGACCCGUCUUGAAACACGGACCAAGGAGUCUAGCAUGUGCGCAAGUCAUUGGGUUUCUACGAAACCUAAAGGCGAAAUGAAAGUGAAGGCCAGCACUAGUUGGCUGAGGUGUGAUCCAGGUGGCGACACUUGGCGCAACACCGUCCGGUCACGAUCUUCUUAGAGAUGUGGCUGCGAAAGAGCGUACACGCUGGGACCCGAAGAUGGUGAACUAUGCCUGAGCAGGAUGAAGCCAGAGGAAACUCUGGUGGAGGUCCGCAGCCGUUCUGACGUGCAAAUCGAUGGUCAAACUUGGGUAUAGGGGCGAAAGACUAAUCGAACCAUCUAGUAGCUGGUUCCCUC
rnacentral:misc_RNA from 1 species